UACGUAGGCAGCAAGCGUUGUUCGGAGUUACUGGGCGUAAAGGGUGCGUAGGCGGUCCUAUAAGUAUGGUGUGAAAUCUCCCGGGCUUAACUGGGAGGGUGCGCUAUAGACUGUGGGACUAGAGUGUGGGAGAGGAAAGUGGAAUUCCUGGUGUAGCGGUGAAAUGCGUAGAUAUCAGGAGGAACACCGGUGGUGUAAACGGCUUUCUGGACCAUAACUGACGCUGAGGCACGAAAGCGUGGGUAGCAAACAGG
rnacentral:rRNA from 1 species